AUUGAACGCUGGCGGCAGGCCUAACACAUGCAAGUCGAACGAGUGGCGGACGGGUGAGUAAUGUCUGGGAAACUGCCCGAUGGAGGGGGAUAACUACUGGAAACGGUAGCUAAUACCGCAUACCAUCGGAUGUGCCCAGAUGGGAUUAGCUAGUAGGUGGGGUAAUGGCUCACCUAGGCGACGAUCCCUAGCUGGUCUGAGAGGAUGACCAGCCACGCUGGAACGGGGGCACGGUCCAGACUCCUACGGGAGGCAGCAGGGGGGGAUAGUGCACAAUGGGCGCAAGCCGGAUGCAGCCAUGCCGCGUGUAUGAAGAAGGCCUUCGGGUUGGAGGGUACUUUCAGCGAGGAGGCGGGACUCGCAGAAGAAGCACCGGCUAACUCCGUGCCAGCAGCCGUGGUAAUAC
rnacentral:rRNA from 1 species